CCGUUGGUGAACCAGCGGAGGGAUCAUUACUGAGUUUACGCUCUAUAACCCUUUGUGAACAUACCUAUAACUGUUGCUUCGGCGGGUAGGGUCUCCGCGACCCUCCCGGCCUCCCGCCUCCGGGCGGGUCGGCGCCCGCCGGAGGAUAACCAAACUCUGAUUUAACGACGUUUCUUCUGAGUGGUACAAGCAAAUAAUCAAAACUUUUAACAACGGAUCUCUUGGUUCUGGCAUCGAUGAAGAACGCAGCGAAAUGCGAUAAGUAAUGUGAAUUGCAGAAUUCAGUGAAUCAUCGAAUCUUUGAACGCACAUUGCGCCCGCCAGCAUUCUGGCGGGCAUGCCUGUUCGAGCGUCAUUUCAACCCUCAAGCUCUGCUUGGUGUUGGGGCCCUACAGCUGAUGUAGGCCCUCAAAGGUAGUGGCGGACCCUCCCGGAGCCUCCUUUGCGUAGUAACUUUACGUCUCGCACUGGGAUCCGGAGGGACUCUUGCCGUAAAACCCCCCAAUUUUCCAAAGGUUGACCUCGGAUCAGGUAGGAAUACCCGCUGAACUUAAGCAUAUCAAU
rnacentral:rRNA from 1 species